rnacentral:pre_miRNA from 1 species
AGAAGCAUUGCUGGAUCAUAUGGUAAUACUAUGUUUAGAUUUUUGAGAAACUGCCAAACUGUUUUCUAUAGCAGCCACACCAUUUUACAUUCCCACCAGCAAU